UACGGAGGGUGCAAGCGUUGUCCGGAUUUAUUGGGUUUAAAGGGUGCGUAGGUGGGCAGGUAAGUCAGUGGUGAAAUCUCCGGGCUUAACUCGGAAACUGCCAUUGAUACUAUCUGUCUUGAAUACCGUGGAGGUCAGCGGAAUAUGUCAUGUAGCGGUGAAAUGCUUAGAUAUGACAUAGAACACCAAUUGCGAAGGCAGCUGGCUACACGAAUAUUGACACUGAUGCACGAAAGCGUGGGGAUCAAACAGG
rnacentral:rRNA from 1 species